rnacentral:misc_RNA from 1 species
CCCUCUCCACAGUUACGUGGUAGGAUACGCAACCCUAUGAUCCGGCCCUCAUGGAGGAUGAGACAUGCUCUGUCUGAAAUGGCGAUAACCGGGUACAUGUCUUGCCUCUACCUCUCCACAGUUACGUGGUAGGAUAUGCAACCCUAUGAUCCGGCCCUCAUGGAGGAUGAGACAUGCCCGCUCAAAAGCGACAACUGGCUCGGCUGUUGCAUUUGUCUUUCCACGCAAGUGGAAUUGCAGGGUAACUACCGACGCUGGACGUCACCGAGGACGUG